rnacentral:rRNA from 1 species
UUUCCGAAAGGGGCGGUAAUACCAAAUAAUAUCAUUCGUCGAUAGGUGAAUGAUCAAAGAUUUAUCGGCACAGGAGCGGCCUGCCUCCUAUCAGCUUGUUGGUGGGGUAACGGCUCACCAAGGCAACGACGGGUAGCGGGACUGAGAGGUUGGCCCGCAACAUCGGGACUGAGACACUGCCCGGACCUCCACGGAGGGCUGCAGUAACGAAUAUUGCGCAAUGGGCGAAAGCCUGACGCAGCGACGCCGCGUGUAGGAUGAAGUCUUUCGGGAUGUAAACUACUGUCAGGGGGAAGAAAGUGCGCUCCGGCGUAUUGAUCUAACCCAGAGGAAGUCACGGCUAACUUCGUGCCAGCAGCCGCGGUAAGACGAAGGUGGCAAGCGUUGUUCGGUAUCACUGGGCUUAAAGCGUGUGUAGGCGGAAAUGUAAGCGUUGCGUGAAAGCCCCCGGCUUAACCGGGGAACUGCGCAACGAACUGCUUUUCUUGAGGCAAGUAGGGGUGCAUGGAACUCUUGGUGGAGCGGUGGAAUGCGUAGAUAUCAAGAGGAACGCCAGUGGAGAAAUCGGUGCACUGGGCUUGUCCUGACGCUGAGACACGAAAGCGUGGGGAGCGAACGGGAUUAGAUACCCCGGUAGUCCACGCCGU